rnacentral:lncRNA from 1 species
AUGCAACUACAGAGGAGCAACAGUUCUGUGGGCCUCGAGUCCCGGGAGGCCUCUCCUGGGGAACCACCGCCAGGGGCCAACUCUCACCCCCGCGCCACACUUCCGUGCCUCCGCGUGCCUUCCGCACUGUUCCAAUCAGUCUCGAAUUUCAACUCCUGGCCCGGGCCAAACUCUUGCUGCGGGACUGGUAUAUUGUCAUUCGCGUUUGCUUUUCCCAGGGGAAGGAGGAGCCACGGGGCUCCUGGCAGCUCCUGGGCGCCCUCCGGGGACGGCCCAAUCCAGUGUCUGCGCAGCUCCGGCCCCCACCCUUGCCUCCUUGCGACCCCAUACCUUGGCCUCCCACGGCCGCCGCGCUCUGGAAAGCCGCUACGACUGAUGAGCCCCGGGUGCUUUCGUUUUGGUUUCGCUCCCUCCUCGCCGCAGCUGGGAAGGCUGCGCAGGAACCAAGUUGGGGGCGAAAAGCGCGUGUUCUGACAGAGCAGCGGCGACAGCGUGACUUGGCCUGAAGCUAGGGCAGGGGAACGGAGGCCGAGGCCGAGGCCUGGGCAUCUCUCCCCCUUGAAAAGGGCCCGGAGGCCCUGCCUUACUUUCCUCAAGCAAAGAAAAGUGGUUUGUAGGCACACUGAUUCCACAGAAGUGGCGCGGAAACGAAUUCGCCUUCUUAGGAGGAGUGCGUCUUUCAAACACAGACGGCAGGGCGAAGCAGAUGGGCUUACGGAGGGGUGGCUGGGGCCUUUCGCUAAAUAGGAAGGAAAGUGGGGGAGAAAGAGGCUGCUCCAACACCAGGCUCUGAGCACCGUCAGGUGUGGGGGACCGAAGCGCCGUCCGGUUUGUUGCGGGUCGACCCAGCUCCGGGCUUUGGAAAUCCGGCAGCCGCUGCCCAGGUCCGUUCGACUUCAUCUCUCACCACACAUUGCUUGCUUGAUGAACUCCUCACCAUAGGUCUCUCCCUUAAAAAGGGUAGGGAUGGGGGGCCGGGGGCGGGGUGGGGGGCGACAAACCUGGAAAGGUUUCACCAAAUACCAGAGGUAAACUGCCGCCCUGUCCAGUCCGUGCGAAAACGCCCUCAGGUUUGGACGAGCCCAGUGCUCGGCCCGGGGAGCCCGGUCCGGGGUGCGCGGGCCCUCGCAGAGUCCCCGGCCUGCACUUGGCCCGACUGUGGGUGAGUGCGCGGAAAGUUUCCCUAAACCACUUGAAAGAAUAACAGAACACUUCCAGACUGUUUACCAGUGUCCAGCUGCCCAGAAAGGUCCGACGCGUUUCCUGCCCUCGUUCCAGUUCUGCCCCGCGUUUUCUCCACCAGUGAUCUGGUGGGCUACGUUAUUUUAUUGCAACUCCACAAAGUCAAAAUGCGAUCUGGAACAGUUAGGGAAAGGACCGGAAGCUGCGAAGGUUAAUUACACACAGACUGGCUAACUUGCACUUGGUAUGGGAAGGCCUUCCUCUCGUGUUUACCGCCCUCCUUGUUUACAUC